rnacentral:tRNA from 1 species
GGAGCUAUAGCUCAGGUGACUACCCGGCUUUGACGGGGGAGAGUCCCGACAUGUCGGGAUUCGCAACGAGCAGGUCGGGGGUUCGAAUCCCCUUAGCUCCA